UGCUUCGGGACAACAUCCAGGGCAUCACC
rnacentral:piRNA from 1 species